AAGGGAAAUUAUUAAAACAAAAAAUAAAGAGAAAUACUAUUAACACCUAGGAUCAAAACAGUAUUAUUAUCAGCCAUUUAGGUCUUUGAAAGGGUUUUUUUAAAGAAUAUUUUUUCAUAAUCAGAGGGAUACAUGCUCACAGUCUGUGACAAUUCUCCGAGCUAGUGUGGCAAAUGCCCUUUUGCUUCUAGUAAUCUAAACUAAUACCAGCAGAAGCAAAACCUACUUCUCUAUCUUUGCUGUACACUGUCUAUUCUUAUGGGUUCAGCUCCACCAACCAACUGCAGAAAGUGUUAGAAGAUUUUCAGUCAUAAUGAUUAUGUUCUGAACCAGCAUCUAUUUCAGAUAAAAUAAGCAGCUUGCAUGUUAUUGUGGAGCAGCAAAGCCAUGACUAUGAUACUCCCUAUGGACCAGCUUUCAUCAUAAAGCGGUGUGAAGCUCAGGCGGCUCUGAAGCUUUGGAUUCAGAUCAGCAUAGCCAAGGAUUCUGCCAAUGACCUGCAGGCAAAGAAAUGCAGCUGGAUGGGAUGUCUUCUUCCUGGGAUCAUCCACCCCUGCAGUUGUGCUGCCCUCCCUCUAUGCCACGGCCAGGGUAGUGAGGCGAUUGAGGGGAGCUGCAGCUGCGUGGGGGGCUGCCUGCCUUACCUCACGAUGACAGGCACUGCCUGUGUCCAAGCCUGUGAGGUACUUCAGACUCACAGCAAACUCUCCGUUUCAUUACUGAAAUAACCUCCAAUCAGAGCUCUAAAUGGAAAAAACCCCACAUUUGGAAAUGAAGAUCUCUCUUGCACAACUCCCGGGGAUGUCCACGUGCCACCUGCAGAAAGCAGAGCAACGGGACCGUAAUAGUAUGCAUAAAACAUCGUGUACCAGUGAGCUCUCGUCUGCACAGAGGAAAUCAUCACUUUCAGGGCUGGAGGGUGUAAUUAAAUUGCCUGCCAUGUAGCCCAAGGGAAUAAAUAGAAAGUGUCAAAAUCGUUUCUGUGUGAAAAACCUAGGGGUCACCAAAAUCCAUAGGUUUCACUGAAACCUUCAGUUAGGAACACUUAAUCUAAAAAUGCUUAUCUAUGUAGCAAUGUGAAUUAGAAUUAAAUACUAGAACUACUAGAAUAUUACUAGCAUAACUAGGUAACUUGAUUUUUUGCUUCAAAAUAACUUUCACGUCAAAGUCUCUAUAAGUUCUUAAUAUUACAAUAUAUAAAACAAAGAUUUGGACAUGUUAUAUUUAAGAUAAAUUAAAUCUAACUAGCCAAAAAAGAAUUAAAUAUUUUGCCCCAAAAGUUUGAAUUUUCAGAGUCUUUAUAUUGUUCUCAAGGAGAAAUGAACACAUUUUCAAAAUCAUGGUAAAACAGUUACAGCUGCUGAAGAAGCCAAGUGGCAUUUUACACACUAAUUAGUUGAAGAUUUUCUGAGUUAGUUUACUCCACGUAAAGAAUAAACCACUCCAACACUCAAUGUCCAGCAGUUACCAGUUUGUGCUCUGUCUUGUGUAGGUUCACAGAAACUCCUUCACUGCUUUUGUUCAGAAAAUAGUUUGUAGAAUCAUAGAAUAGUUUGGGUUGGAAGGGUAAAGUUCAUCUAGUUCCAAUCCCCCUGCCAUGGGCAGGGACACCUCCCACUAGAUCAGGCUGCCCGAGGUCCCAUCCAACCUGGCCUUGAACAUCUUCAAGGAUGGGGCGUCCACAACCUCCCUGGGCAACCUGUGCCAGGGCCUCACCGCCUUCAUGGUGAAGAAAUUCCUCCUUAUGUCUAGUAUAAGUCUGUCCCUCUCCAGUUUAUAGCCAUUCCCCUCCGGUCCUGUCACUACAAGCCUUUGUGAACAGACCCUCCCCAGUUUUCUUGUAGGCCCCUUUCACGUACUGGAAGGUCACUAUAAGGUCUCCUCAGAGCCUUCUCUUCUCCAGGCUGAACAAGCCCAACUCUCUCAGCCUGUCCUCGUAUGGGAGGUACUCCAGUCCUCUGAUCGUCCUUGUAGACCUCAGUUCCAUAUCCUCUUAUGCUGAGUAUUCCAGAACUGGACACAGUACUGCAGAUGAGGUCUCACAAGAGAGGAAUAGAGGGGCAGAAUCACUUCCCUUGACCUGCUGGCCACGCUUCUGUUUAGACAGUGUGGUGGCUGAAAUAAGUCCAAAGCUUGUAGCACUAGACACUAGACUGUGCCUAGAUCCAAGAUGCUGAUACUCCAUAUCCUGAGUGAAAGAGCUGUCAUGUGACUGCUCACUCUCAUGUUGCAGAAUCUGGCAGGGCCUGAAAUGCUACUUUUUAAAAACUAUUUAUUUUUAUUAGGCCUUCAAUGCUUUGCAGCUUGGCUUGGAGUUGGAGGGAGAGGCUUUUCAGGUCCAGUUCUUUGACAUAAUAGCAUUUAUUGCCGUGAACUCUUAUUUUACUUUCUGCACUGCGUGAUCGUGAAAUCUACAACUGAUAGAGUGAGCUGGUACUAUUGGGCUGUGGCAUAUGGUGUCCUCUGAGAUUUAUGUGGCUUUUAUUACUGUACUGGGACUUACUGUAAUUUAAAAAAAAAAAAAGAGUGUAAGAUCAAGGUCUAUUUGUAAUCAUGAGUUUUGUUUGUACUUAUGGCAAACUCGACAA